GACGAACGCUGGCGGCGUGCCUAAUACAUGCAAGUCGAACGCUUCUUUCCUCCCGAGUGCUUGCACUCAAUUGGAAAGAGGAGUGGCGGACGGGUGAGUAACACGUGGGUAACCUACCCAUCAGAGGGGGAUAACACUUGGAAACAGGUGCUAAUACCGCAUAACAGUUUAUGCCGCAUGGCAUAAGAGUGAAAGGCGCUUUCGGGUGUCGCUGAUGGAUGGACCCGCGGUGCAUUAGCUAGUUGGUGAGGUAACGGCUCACCAAGGCCACGAUGCAUAGCCGAACUGAGAGGGUGAUCGGCCACACUGGGACUGAGACACGGCCCAGACUCCUACGGGAGGCAGCAGUAGGGAAUCUUCGGCAAUGGACGAAAGUCUGACCGAGCAACGCCGCGUGAGUUAAGAAGGUUUUCGGAUCGUAAAACUCUGUUGUUAGAGAAGAACAAGGACGUUAGUAACUGAACGUCCCCUGACGGUAUCUAACCAGAAAGCCACGGCUAACUACGUG
rnacentral:rRNA from 1 species